CUCUCUCUGCUCCUCCCCUUCUCGUACUAGCUCUCUCAAAAUAAAUAAACUUAAAAAUAAAAGAAAAACCCAAAGGGAGUGGGAAGCUAACAAAGGGUUAUGAGCAGGCGAGUGGCACCAUCUGAUUUACACCCCGGUGCGAUCACCCUGGCUGCUGUGUGCAGUAUGUAUUGUGGAGAGGCAAGAAAGGAAUUCAGGAGUCCUCAUGAGGCGGUGGUAGUGUGGCUAUGGCAUGAUGGGUGAUGAUAUUAGUUGAUGACAGGGACAUACAGGGAAAUGGAGCUUGUGAAGGAAUUUUGAAGGAAGCAUUAACAAAAACAAGAAACAAUUUGAAUGUCGGUGGCGAAAAUGGGAAAGUGUCCCUGGUCACUUCCAGAAUUGUGGGUUGAAUGAUGGGUUCAGCUGCCAUUGCUGAAAUGGGCCCACCGGCCGUGGAGUGUCUGUGGGGGAGGGCACAGAAGAACAGGAGUUCAGCUUGAGGUAUGUCAGAUUUGAGAUGCCCCUGCAAUAUCCUGCGAGAUCAAGGGGUAAAUACAGCACCCACUGUGGUGUUGAAAAUGGAAGUCUGGUACCUAGAGAAGACGGGGUAGCUUGGAAAUUAAAGGUUGCGAGCUGUCGGCAUGUAGAUGCUGAUGUUGUCUGGGGAGAGAGUGUAUCUCGAUGAGAGAAUCGGAUCCCGGGCUGAGCCCUGAGGAAAUCUAACAUGUCGAGGUUGGACAGCAGAGAAGCGACAGGCAGAGAAAACAAAGACGCUUGAGAGGUAGGCAGCAGAUCGUUCCAUGUGAUGUCACAGAAGCAUGACAUGCAAUUUUUCCAGGGGCAGGUGGGAGCGAUUGUGGUCAGCUGUGCCUAAUAUUCUGAGAGUCCUCGUAAGGUGGCUGUCUCGAUGCCUGCUCCUGACAUCUGCAUGUAAGGACCCUGAUUUCCUCCAUACUAGUGGGGAAAAGGCGUUAGGUAGCCGCGCGUGGAGAUGGGGACCCAGGCAGGGAGAGGAUCUUAGGAAAACUGGUAACCUGUUGGUUUAGCUAAGGCAGCUUUCUUAACUUUUGUGUGUAAGAAACACCGCCCAGAGAAACUGUGCUAAUGGUGAACGCUGAGUACAGCUGACACGCCAUCAGCUCGUAGGGAAUAUGCUGCCUGUAGCCACAGGAUGCCACCGUGGAUGCUUGUCUUAUACUCUCUAAUCUUACUCUUUUCCUUAGUGGUGGGAAAUUGCUUUCUCCUCCCUAUGUCAGUGCUGCUCAAGGCACUGCAGAUCUGUGUCAUUCGUGUCUUCUCCUCACUGCAUAUGAAUAUCAGAAUUUGAAAAUUUAUAUUUGGAGUGUUUGAGCAAUUCUUUUGGACGUCUUUUCCUCCCUCCCUCCCUCCCUCCCUCCCUUCCUUCCUUCCUUCCUUCCUUCCUUCCUUCCUUCCUUUCCAGUUCUUCCCUUUGCCUCAUCUUAGGUCUUAGCAAACAUACUCAUUUUGUUAGUAGUGGCAGGAAGCAGGCAGUUUCCAUGGCAACUGACAGACCGGGUUUACUGUGGAAAUUUCCGGAAUUAACAGAGCUGCAUUGCAGAAGGAUGCAUAAAGCAGUAUUCAUCUAGAGAUGCUAACAGUACGGACACAGAACGGUUGCAGUGGUGUGCAGGAAGAAGUUUGUUGACUCGUGGUUUAGAUGGUGUAUUGGAUUCCUACGGCUGCUGUAACAAAUUGCCACAGACUUGGUAGACUAAAACGACAGAAAUUUAUUCUCUCGCAGUUUCGGAGGCCAGAAAUCCGAAAUCAGGGUGUUGGCAAGGCUAUUUUGUGCAUUCACUAGCACACAUGUUGAGUUGUGUGCUCUGACUUCUCUUCACAGCAAGAUCCAGAUUCAACUGUAAUUAGAUAUUUACCUUUUUAUUUUUCUGUAGGCACCUAGAGUAUACAUAAGGAAGUAGAGUGAGUUAAGGUCUACAGCCUAGACUGGUAUUAAAUUAAGCUGGUUUGAUCACAAUUCACACAAGCUAAAAUGUAAGCACUGUAGGAGGUUCAAAAAUACCCUCUGUUUCAAGUAGGUAUAUUAUAUAAAAUAGCCUGUGUUCCUAAGUGUGUCUGUUGAUAAAUCUUUAGAUUGUGUCUGUAGAUAAAUCUAUAAAAUCUUUUUUUUUUUUUUCCUCAUUGACUAGUUUGGGUAAAUGCCCACCCUGCCCCAGAAUAAUAAAGGUGAGCUUGAGAAUGUUCCAUAGUUUACAAGACAGUUCACACAGCUAGCUACAGGUUAUGAAUGAAAAGGGAUUAAGAUUCUUGGUCCUUCGUUACUUGCUUCAGGAACUAAUGUUCUGACUUCGUAAAAGCAAUUUCAGAUUUGUAGGAGAAGCAGCAUCCUGCUAAACUAUUUAUUAAGAAACAAGGAUGGAUAUAUGAAACACAGAAAAUUAAGACAAUCCCACGUGGAGUCUCUAUAGGAAUCAAGAAGAGAUUUACCGAGGAUUUCUCUUAGGGCAUUCCUGCAGACCGCAGGAGAAAAUGUGGCCUCUUCUGAACCAUUAGUUUAAGAGACAGAGUGCCUCCCCCACCCCAAGGCCUUCCCCCCCUGACUAGCAAGUCCCAGAAAAUAACGGGAGGGAGGCCAGAUGGAUGUAGGUACAUUUCAUCUGGGCAGCGUGGACGCAGAGAAGGGUGGUGGUAGCAAAAUAGACUGAGGAUUAUAUUCUUAGAUUUGCUGCUGUCCGUUGAAGAGUAUGGAAUUCGAGGACAAGGACAUCAAGAGAGAAUUUGCCUCUGGAGCAGUGUGUGCUCUGAUUGGGAAUACCCUGAGCCCCGGGGCCUUGAACUACAGACAGGGUUUGAACAUAUAGACACGGGAUGGACAAAUCCCUUUCCCACAAGGAGAGUGAGGCUCAAAGACAGUCUCUUUCUCUCUUUCCCAUCAAUCUUACUUAGGUAUAGUUGACAUAUAAUAAACUGUAUGUAGUGAAAGUGUACAGUUUGGGAAGUUUUGACGUGCGUAUACCCUGUGAAAGCACCACUCCAGGCAGGUUAGUGAACAUACCUACCACCCCCAAAGUUUCCUCCUGACCUGUUCUAGCUUUUCUGUCUAGACGUUUGGUUUCGUUGCUUUUUGUAUAUCCCACAUCUGUCUGAUGUAUUCGUCUGCCCUUCAGUUUCUCGAACACACACCAUAGAGUCGUAAGCACAGUUUCAUUGUCUUUGCUAAUUCUGGCAUCUUUGCCAUUUCUGACUCAGUUAGAAUUGGUUGAUCUUUCUCUUCAUUUUGGGCCAUCUUAUUUUGCUUCUCUGCAUCCUUGCUGAGUUUUAGAUUGCAGGCCGGACUUUGGGUGCCAGGUGUUUUUGCAUUCCUACGAAUCUUUGGUUAAGUUACUUGGAAACAGCUGGAUCCUGUUGACUCUUGCUUACCAGCUUUGGUGGGUGUUCUGAGUACCGCUCCAGCCUGGGCAUUGUUCCCUCUAAUCCUUUUGGGGGGUUCUUUCCCCAGGCGAGUGUAGGGUCUUUGUAAGAGCGUGCUGUCCAAGGAGGGCUCCGUGCCUAUCUGUGGGGUUCUCUUUCUGUGCAGCGCUCUCUUAUCCCAGAACUCUGCUUCUUAGACUCUGGCUACCUUGGUCUCCUCAGACACCUAGAUCUGUCUGCUCAACACCAGGAUACUGCCAGGAGGUGCCUCGGUCCCCCUGGUCCCCCGUCCCCUCGCAGUGUGUGGACCCCUCCAGACCGGAAGCUGGGGACAGCCGUAGGCUCACCGUGUGUAUUUCUUGCCUCAGUGUUCACUGUCCUUUGAUGCCUGACGUCCAGUGUCUUCAAGACCAUCUCAGACUUUGUCUGUUUUUUUACUUGUUUCAAGUGUGAGAGUAAGUCUGUGUCCCUGAUGCUCCACAGUGGCCCAAGCGUGAGUGCCACACGUAUCCUCCCUGUGAGACGGGAGCAAGCAUUCUGGAACUAGGAAGCAAUGUCUUCUUGACUUUGAGAAAGCACCUCUGAACGCGGCACCUUACGGCAUUCUUAAUACAGUAGAAGACAUCAUGAUGUUUAUAAAAAAGGAUCAGCAAAUUUUUUUUUUUAAGUUUAUUUUUGAGAGAGAGAAAAAGUGAGAGUGGGGAGAGACAGAAAGCGAGAGAAUCCCAAGCAG